CGCUCUUGUGGCAGCACAAG
rnacentral:snRNA from 1 species